rfam:Triticum aestivum genome assembly, contig: Triticum_aestivum_CS42_TGACv1_scaffold_002622_1AL
AAAGUACUCCCUCCGUCCCAAAAUUCUUGUAUUAGAUUUGUCUAGAUACAGAUGUAUCAAGUCACAUUUUAGUAUUAGAUACAAUCCGUAUCUAGAUAAAUCUAAGACAAGAAAUUUGGGAUAGAGGGAGUAGUUG